rnacentral:rRNA from 1 species
UACGGGGGGGGCAAGCGUUGUUCGGAAUUACUGGGCGUAAAGGGCUCGUAGGCGGCCAACUAAGUCAGACGUGAAAUCCCUCGGCUUAACCGGGGAACUGCGUCUGAUACUGGAUGGCUUGAGUUCGGGAGAGGGAUGCGGAAUUCCAGGUGUAGCGGUGAAAUGCGUAGAUAUCAGGAGGAACACCUAUUGCGAAGGCAGGUCUCUGGGCCACUACUGACGCUGAGAAGCGAAAAGCAUGGGGGAGCGAAACAGG